GGGGCUUUUGACAUUAUAUCCACGUACUGAUAACAGAGCCUCGGCGGCUUGCCGCCAAGGACCAAACUAAACAAACUUAAUUUGUCAAGAAACUAAUAAUCAAAACUUUCAACAACGGAUCUCUUGGUUCUCGCAUCAUGAAAAACGCGCCGAAMUGGGAUAAGUAAUAUGAGUUGCAUACUUGGUGAAUCAUCCAAUUUUUGAACGCACAUUGCGCCUUGUGGCUUUCCACAUGGCAUGCCGGUUUGAGCGUCUUCCACCCCCAAACCCCCGGGUUUGGAAAGGAUUGAUCAGACGUCUCCUGAAAAUUUAUGGAAUUUUGGGUCGGGGAUUGCCCGCCAGAAGCUUACUAACUAAAUUUUGACCCCAAAUCAGGAAGGAUUACCCGCUAAACUUACUCAUAUCAGUAACCGAAGGAAA
rnacentral:rRNA from 1 species